UACGUAGGGUCCGAGCGUUGUCCGGAAUUACUGGGCGUAAAGAGCUCGUAGGUGGUUUGUCGCGUUGUCCGUGAAACUCAACAGCUCAACUGUGGGCGUGCGGGCGAUACGGGGCAGACUGGAGUACUGCAGGGGGAGACUGGAAUUCCUGGUGUAGCGGUGGAAUGCGCAGAUAUCAGGAGGGAACACCGGUGGCGAAGGCGGGUCUCCUGGACAGUUCCGUGACGUGAGGCACGAAGCCGGGGAGGCAAACGGGAUUAGACUACC
rnacentral:rRNA from 1 species